CACUCCUACGGGAGGCAGCAGUGGGGAAUAUUGGACAAUGGGCGCAAGCCUGAUCCAGCCAUGCCGCGUGAGUGAUGAAGGCCCUAGGGUUGUAAAGCUCUUUCACCGGUGAAGAUAAUGACGGUAACCGGAGAAGAAGCCCCGGCUAACUUCGUGCCAGCAGCCGCGGUAAUACGAAGGGGGCUAGCGUUGUUCGGAUUUACUGGGCGUAAAGCGCACGUAGGCGGACUAUUAAGUCAGGGGUGAAAUCCCGGGGCUCAACCCCGAAACUGCCUUUGAUACUGGUAGUCUUGAGUUCGAGAGAGGUGAGUGGAAUUCCGAGUGUAGAGGUGAAAUUCGUAGAUAUUCGGAGGAACACCAGUGGCGAAGGCGGCUCACUGGCUCGAUACUGACGCUGAGGUGCGAAAGCGUGGGGAGCAAACAGGAUUAGAAACCCGAGUAGUCCCAU
rnacentral:rRNA from 1 species